UACGUAGGGUGCAAGCGUUAAUCGGAAUUACUGGGCGUAAAGCGUGCGCAGGCGGUUUUGUAAGUCUGACGUGAGAUCCCCGGGCUCAACCUGGGAAUUGCGUUGGAGACUGCAAGGCUAGAAUCUGGCAGAGGGGGUAGAAUUCCACGUGUAGCAGUGAAAUGCGUAGAGAUGUGGAGGAACACCGAUGGCGAAGGCAGCCCCCUGGGUCAAGAUUGACGCUCAUG
rnacentral:rRNA from 1 species